GACGAACGCUGGCGGCGUGCUUAACACAUGCAAGUCGAACGGAAAGGCCCUGCUUUUGUGGGGUGCUCGAGUGGCGAACGGGUGAGUAACACGUGAGUAACCUGCCCUUGACUUUGGGAUAACUUCAGGAAACUGGGGCUAAUACCGGAUAGGAGCUCCUGCUGCAUGGUGGGGGUUGGAAAGUUUCGGCGGUUGGGGAUGGACUCGCGGCUUAUCAGCUUGUUGGUGGGGUAGUGGCUUACCAAGGCUUUGACGGGUAGCCGGCCUGGGAGGGUGACCGGCCACAUUGGGACUGAGAUACGGCCCAGACUCGUACGGGAGGCAACAGUGGGGAAUAUUGCACAGUGGGCGGAAGCCUGAUGCAGCAACGCCGCGUGCGGGAUGACGGCCUGCGGGUUGUAAACCGCUUUCGCCUGUGACGAAGCGUGAGUGACGGUAAUGGGUAAAGAAGCACCGGCUAACUACGUG
rnacentral:rRNA from 1 species